AUCGACCUCUUUGACCGGAAGGGUUUCCUUCCGGUCAGGGAGGUACAUCAACCUCUUUGACCGGAAGGAAACCCUUCCAAUCAAUGAGGUACAU
rnacentral:miRNA from 1 species